CUUUGCACACUUUUUUUGUUACAAACUAAGGCACAAGCCCACACAUUAGCCUAGGCCUACACAGGGUCAGGAUCAUCAAUAUCACUGUCUUCCACCUGCACAUCCUGUCCCACUGGAAGGUCCUCAGGGGCAAUAAUGCAUGAAUCGGUUAUCUCCUGUGAUAACGAUUCCUUCUUCUGGAAUACCUUUUGAAGGUUCUGCCUAAGGCUGUUUUACAGUUAAUUUUUUUAAUAGGUAGAAAAAGUAUACUCUAAAAUAGUAAUAUAAAGUAUAAUAUAGUAAACACAUAAACCAGUAACAUAAUUGUUUAUCAUUAUCAAAUAUUAUGUACUGUACAUAAUUAUAUCUGCUAUAAAGUCAAACACCAGAUAAUGGCAUUUUGGUCUACAAUGAACCAUGUGUACAAUGACAGUGGUCCCAUAAGAUUAUAAUGGAUCUUAAUCAUUUCUAUUGUCUAUUGAUGUUAUAAUGUCACAACACACUUUAUUUUUUAAAUUAAUUUAGUGUAUCCUAGGUGUACAGUGUUGGUAAAGUGUACAGUAUCAUAAAGUAAUGUCCUAGGCCUUCACAUUUACUCAGCACUCACUCACUGACUCACUUAGAGCAACUUCUAGUCAUUGAAGCUCCAUUCCUGAUAAGUGCCCUAUACAGGUGGACUGUAUUUUUAUACCAUAUUUUUACAUAUAAUUUCUAUGUUUAGAUACACAAAUAUUUAUAAUUAUGUUACAUUUACCUAUAGCAUUCAUUACAGUAAAAUGCUGUACAGGUUUGUAGCCUAGGAGUAACAGGCUAUAUCGUAUAGCUUAGGUGUGUAGUAUACUUUACCAUCGAGGUUUGUGUAAUUACACUCUAUAAUGUUUGCACAAUGCCAGUCACCUACCAUGAUGUAUUUCUCAGAACAUAUCCCGUUAUUAAUUGAUUAUACUUUUAUACAUCAUUAAUGAUACUUUUAUGCAAGUGGCAGUGCAUUAGGUUUGUUUACACCAGCAGCACCACAAACAUGAGUCAUGUGUUGCACGAUGACAUUACCAUAGCUGUAAUGUCACUAAGCUCUACUACAAUGUUAAGGGACAACCAUUGUAUAUGCAAUCCAUUGAUGACCAAAACCACAUUUUGUGGCAUAUGAUUGUACUUAAGUUAAAGAAGGAAUCUAUUAUCUAAUUCUGAGAAGAAAUUACAAAAACGUAUAAUGUUAGUAAUUGAAAAGAUAAUAGAGAUUAUCUAGUUCAGGGAUAAGCAAGUUACAGCCUGUGGAUUAAAAUCUUUUUUGCCUAUAAAGGUUUAUUGGAACACAGAUACACUUACUCAUUUACAUAUUACCUAUGUUUGCUUUCAUGCCACAGAGGCAGAGUGUAAUCGUUGAGACAAGGAUUAUAUGGCUCACAAAACCAAAAAUGUUUACUUUCCGGCUCUUUAUAUAAAAUGUUGGCUGCCUUGGGUUUAGUUUAGCCUUUUAUUUUUGUAGAUAAAAAUUGGCCCUAAAAGACAGAUUUUCGAAUCACAGAACCAUUGCAUUACUGAGCUUAAAAUAAAGUGCAAGAUAAUUUGUAUUUGUAUCUUUUUUUUGUAGACUAAUUUACAAUACUUGAUUUUUGUGUGUCAGAUGGAGACAGAUAGAUAGAUAUAUACACUACUUGAACUUUGGUUUAUAGUGAAUGCUCCACUCAAACUCCCCUUCAGAAAAGGACUUAUUUCCCCAACUACUGGAAGCUUUGCCAGAAGAAAAGCUUAAUUAGUUAGAAACCUACAGGAAUUCAGUUGAAAAGAGCUGCCUCAUUGACCAAGAUCACACCUGCUUCGCAGGUGGUCAGCCAGAAGUGGGUAUAAAAGUCUGUCCCCAUGAACUCAACUCAGGGCAACAUUGAAGGGAUUUUUCUGCUAUACAUCUCCUCAUGGAUGGGCUAAAGAGCUUUCAUUGUGGCUCAAUUUCUCUCAGGACCUAACUUUUUGAUUCCUUUCUUUCUUACUCUGUCCUUCCACGGGUAUUGAUCCCAAGAACAUUUUCUAAUAAGCCUCCUGCUGGCUGCUUCCCAGGGAGCACAUCCUGGAUAAACUACCAUUAACAAAAUAAAGACUAAGAGCACUUCCAAUUCAGCGUCUGAGGAUCAACUCUCAAAUCGUUAAUUCAACAGCGCCUAGUUAGUAAAGAUACACUACCUUUCAUAAAUGUCAGCUUUUCCUGUUUCUUUGUUGAAAGGUUUCAUUAGUUGUUGGUGGAGCUCAUUUUCUGAUGUGAGCUAAUGGUACAAUUAUUGGAGCUAAUUCCUUCAGAAGAUAAAUUCUAGAAUGCUGCAAAUUGUGGAAAAUCUUUCUACCUUUUAUACUGGUAAACAAGAGAGACAUCUUGGCCCCUUUUAACCACCAUGUUGCUAACAGCACAGUGAUUAAUGAAAACUGAGAACAGAUCAUUGUAAUGGUGGAGGAAGGAGCUCAAUAACGUCCCCACUGCCCACCAGCUUGCAGUUUAUCCUUUGUGUCUUUUUUUUUCAGUCUUUUCUAUUUUAAGCCUUUAACCAUACAGAGAGAGGAAAAAAAAAGGUGAUUAGCUUAAAUUUGAUUUAAAUUAUGGUUUUACUUAGAUACUAAUGAUUACUGAUUCAACUUAAGUGAGAAUUAAAGGGUUUAAACUACUGAAGUGUGCAAUAAUAAUGGAAAGUCUGCUUGAGGAAAAAAAUACAGGUUAUUGUUUUUAUUUCUGCUAUCUUCUGACAUUUUUAGUGGCUUAUGCCAACUGAAUGGCUUUACAAAGUGAAACUAAACAAAUAAAAGUGAAUGGGGAUAUAGAGAGAAAUGCUUAAGUAUCCCUGUCAAAGACAGAAUGAUGAACUAUUAUAAAUAUUUGGCAUGUUCUGUAAAUAUGUGGCACUCAAUCAAAAGCCAUUUAAACCUUGAAAGGACAAGAAACAUAAUGAAACUGAAUGAGACUAUUUCAGUUUUACCUGUUUUCUUAGAAUGCUUUAUUGUGUUGUUUUCUUUUUCAGGUGUCACAUGGUAGUCUCCAGCAGUCCUAGGUUCCCAUUGUCCACAGUGAGAAUCCACUGGUAAAGGAGCAUUCUUCUCUUCAUACAUGCAGUGAAUGUCUAAUUGGUUCUAAUUGGGUCAUAUGCUCACCUCAAAUUAAUCAGUGGAAUUAGGGGAUGAAAUGCUGUGGGAAGGCCAUCUACAAAUAUGUAGGACCUACUUCAGCAGUAGAAAGGAGGCUUGCCUUCAAAGCAAGACCAGGGACAGAAAGUCCAUCUUUUGAACUGAGUAAAGGGGCAUUCCUAUAACUGAUCCAGGGAAUGUUAAGACUAGGCUUAGAACCAAAAUGUUAUUUAGUAAACCCUCUCAUUUAGCAAGGAAGGACAACCAUUAAGUCUGCCCUUGAGCAGACUCUCACCUUCUUUAGCAUCUUAUCCUCUCAUCAUAGCACUGUUACCUAAGACUGAGGGCUUCUAAACAGGUACCUCUUCAACUGGCUACUUAUUUGUAUCCAUUAAGAAUAAAUUGGCUUGCUAGACUUUCUCCAGGGUGCCUGGUCUAGUUUCCUCCUGGAUUGGUAGCUUUUGAAGUGAGACAUAAAAGCGUCUGGCUUUUUGAGGUUAUGAUGCUCCAGUCAGCUGUGGCUGAAGUCUUUGAUCCUGGCCAUUUUUCGCAUGAUUCAAAGUCCCCACAGCUCACAUGCCUUUAUUUUUAACCCCAGGCCUCUGCUGGUGCAAAAACUUUCUUAACACAUCUGUGUUUCCUUACUGGACACAUGGACACUUCUGGGUCCCUUUCUCCCAACUUCCAGCACACAGAGAUCAGAAUGACUUCCAGCUCACCUGUGUAGCUGCUUUUUGCCUAUUUUACUGCACUAUUACCCUGCAAUUUUGGGAGAAGUGGCAGUCUGUGGAGCAUCUCCUAAAGGCCUGAAAGUGGGCCAAUACCCCUCAAUCCCUCAGGUUCCCCAUAUAGCUAAUUCUUUCUACUCCUGUAUCUAUGAGUUCAUCCUCUGGAGGCAUUAAUUCCUGCACGUUUGACUUAGAGCUGCCUAUGUCUCCUGUCUCUUCCCAUAAUCCAUGGGACCAAAAGUCUUUGACUUUUGCCAAAUCCUUUGAGUCUGGUUGGGAUCCCCCCCACCGCCUCCAAUAAUAUUCUGUAUUUAUGUUAGCCAGGGCUACCUCUUUUUAUGAUAAAGGCUUUCAGUCACCUUUAAAGCUAAAAUAUUUUUCUUUUAGCUUAAAAUACCUCACGGUCCUGCCAUCUGCUUUGUCUGCGGUUUCUGUUAGCAAUAUGAUUUCCAUUCCCAAAUGAUUCUGGAUGAUACUAUUUUUUGCCUUUGCAUUUGAAACUAUUCUUCUUAGACAUGGCAGAAACUGGGAGGAUGCCUGGCAGAUGAAAGUCUAACCCUUAAGUCAUAUGUUCCAUCUUUCAAAUGACCAUCUUCCAUCUUGAAAUUAUGUAAGAGUCUACCAAAACUCAUCUAUUAGUAUAACAAAGACACUUUUUUUUUUUUGAGCUGGAGUCUCACUUUGUCAUCGAGGCUAGAUUGCAGUGGUGCAAUCUUGGCUCACUGCAACCUCCAUCUUCCGGGUUCAAGUGAUUCUCCUGCCUCAGCCUCCAGAGUAGCUGAGAUUACAGGCACAAGAUUAUGGAUUAUAACACCAAAAAAAUAUUGUCCCUAUGUAUUAGGGGUGAGGAAAUGGGAAGGUGAGGGAAAUGGCACAGAUGCUUUCUGUUUGUUAGCCUCCCAGAGCUCACCUUAUUAUCCUUUAUGAUAAAUCUGUAAUCUUAAAUAUAAUACUUUCAGUGAGUUCUGUGCAUUGUUCUAGCAAAUUAUUGAACAUGCAGGGACUAUUGGAAUAUCUGUAUUUUUAGCCAGCCAGACAAACACUAGCACUGGAUGGUUAGCAUCAAAAUUGUAUUUCAGUAUCCUCAUUUGGUGUUACACCAAUGAAGGUGGAAACAGAAUAGAAGGGGAAGAAUCCUGGUUUUCUGAUAAGUGUCUUCUGAUUAAGGAUGCAUAGAGAUAAUGUCUUUGAAUAUAAAUAGAUAUUUUUCUGCUUUAUUUUCUGGCAAAGUCACUUCCCAUUAUAGUUAAGAGGAACUUUUCAGAAGUACUUUUCAAUAUAAGGAGUUUUACAGUUUCAGGUCUAUACUUAAAUCUUUAAUUCAUUUGAGUUGAUUUUUAUAUAUGGUAUGUUAGGAGGGCAGGGUGUGUCGCUCCUUUUAAGAAAUCUUUGUGGGGAACUUGAAAUAUGUUUGUUUGAGACAGACUACUGGCCUCUUUCUGUGUGACAAUGGACGGGGAAAGGCGAAGAUUCCAAUUUUUUUUUUUCUAUUUAGCAAGUAAUAGGUAAUUAAUGAUUUUUGACAUAUGAUAGUGAGCAUUAAGAUAUAUGUCGAUGGCCCCCUUGAAUUAUAAAGGAUUAAGACAAGGUCACAUAAAAGAUACAAUCAUAAGCCUCUCACUUUGUCUCACUUCUUAUAAGGGUGAGUUGAAACAUGUUUUUAAUAUUGGAGCCAUAACAUCUUUGAGCAAAUGGCUUUCUCGGUAUCAUGCAUUAACUGGGUCAUUGACUGACUCAUAACGUAUGAAAAAUGCUAACCGAUCAAUACAAUCCCCUCCAUGUCUAUAGCCAAUUGAGGUUUCUGUUAUUUCAUGACAUCCUGUACACCAACCCGCUGCAACAAGACUGCAAAUAGAAUAUGUUGCCUUCUGGUUCCAAUCUCAGUAUUCUUUGGCAGAUAUUUAUUUCCAAUUAUAUUAAACAUCAUUUUGUGAGUAGAGGUGCAUACAUUAAAAUGAUAUUUGGUACAUAUUUCUGACUAUACUUUGUCAUCAUUGACCAAAAGCAGGUGAAAGAGAGUUAAGAACAAAAAAAUAACUGCUUGCCUACAAAUAGGCCAAUAUGUAACCUCCCCACUAAACUCUUCAUCAAGUAAUGUGGCACAGAUUUGUUUUUGAACAUUCAUUAAUAUUAGAUGCUAUAGGAGACCAAAGGGAAUAAGGACGCACAUUUAGGUUAUUUACAUAAUAUUUGGGUAGCUAGAUGUUUUAUAUUUUGCUGGAGACUUUUUGUAUAAACAAAUAUGUAAACUUUUAUCUGUCUACUUAUUUCUGGAUUUUUUGUUCCGAUCAGAAAAAUCAGUUUGACCAAAUAUUAUAUAAAUAAUCCACAUAUUUAAACAAGAAAAAUUUGCUUUACUUGAAAGGAAAACACUGCUAACUUCCUACAUAAAAUUCUCCUAAAAAUCAGUGAGAGAAAGGCUAACAUUCAAGAAGUAAGAACAUAGCAUCAUCAGAUAUAUUUUUCAAGAUAUAAUAUCAAUAUAUGCCCUUCAAUUUUAAUACAAUAUUGAAUAUGUGCAAAAUUAUCCAUCAACCAGGGAUGGUUAAAUGAGUAUGGGACAUCUAAAAAUGCAACUUUGUGGAGAUAAUAAAUGGAUGGUGAAGAUUGUUCACUCUCUCACUGUCUUGCUUUUUAAUGUUCACCAAAAUAAGUCAUAUUCUCAUGGUUGGCUUCAGAAUAUUUAUUUUUAAAUUAUUUUUUCUUUUUACUUUUGAAAGAUAUUUUUCUUAUGAAGUUAAUUUUAACAAUCCAAAUAUUUGAAAUUAACUCUAUCAAUCUGAUUGUUUAAUCUUCCAGUUUUUCUAUAUAUGCUUUUUCAUACCUUAUUGGAGUUAAAUAAAAAGUAUUAUAACAUUUAUAUUCCAUGUCCUAAUUUGUGUUUGUGGAUAUUUGAUAUUUCUACUUGCCCUACUUUUGUUUAUAUAACUUAAGGUUCCAAUCAUUACUUUCAUAUGGGCCAUUGAAUUUCAAAAUAAUUUCAUAAAUUGAUUUGCUAAAAUUGAUGAAGCCUCUCAGGAAUAUAAAAGCGUUUUUAAUGGACUUCAUGUUAGAGCAAAUGCUACUAUUAAACCUGAAAUGUUAAAUUGUUUACAAAAAACAGCUCAUUGAACCCCCUCUUCCAAACUGUCUUUUUUGCCUCAUAAAAUUUACCAGAAUCCAAUGACAAUGUGUAUACAUUUUUUUUGUUGUGUUGUUAUAGUUAACAUGUAAAGACACAUAAUCGGUUAUAUAUUUAAAUGUCAAAUUUUCAAAUCAUACCAGUCACUAUCUUUUAUCUCACUCUCUAAGUCAGGAGUUUUCAAUUUAUUCAUACUUUAGUCAAUGUUUAUGACUUUCUGUGUAUGAUUAUAAAUGAUUUUUUUUUCCAGAAGGUAGACAAAUUUUGCAAUGAUUACUUUCUGGCAAUCAGAAUCCUGAAUUUCAUUUUCUGCCAAGGAUUGUUACAACUACACACGAACUACAACUAGAAGCUGAGUUGCAUCAUGCAUACCUAUUGUGAGAAAGCUGUCAUUUUGAACAUUUGCAGCUAUUUGGAAGCUUUUAUUUUCCAAAAAUAUGUACUUUUAUAGCUUCAUUCUAGCUAUUAAUUUUCUAAGUUUUUGCUUUGUCCAUUGUUGUUAUUAUUGGGAAUAACAUUUUUUCUUGGGUGGGAAUUUAUUUUAUGUGAGUUUGAUUUAUAUAUUCUUUGAAGAUUCAAAUCUUUGGGUUGAUAGCCCAUAAUUUGUUUAUUAAGAGACAAUGGAUAUUUACAGAAAUAAAAUGAUCAAUUGCCAUGGAGAUGAGCAUAUCACCAUAGCAACUUACAUCAUGUAUGUGUGUAUGAAAAAUUCUGAGGGGUGGGUCAGGAAGAUAGUGUGUUUGUGUGUGUUUUUUGAAUUCGCAAAGGCUGAAGAAGUCAUUUAUCUUCUUCUAAUUAGAGACUAUCUUAGCAAUUUGUUGAAGAAAUAGAUUAACAGUCACCUUGUCAGUUUGAGUGUUUUGCUCUGUGUUUAAAACAUACUCAUUCUAUAGAUUAGUUCUUCUCUUGCUGAUCCACUGAUAAUAUCCUGAUAUUUUGGAGUUCAUAAAUAGCAUUUCCAAUUAUUUGUACAGUGGGUCAGCUUAAUUAAUAAUAAUAAUAAAACACUGCAGGGCAUUCCGAACACCGUAGGACACAAAGAGAAUAUGAUAGAUAGAGAAUAGACAAUUAAAUUUCUGAGAUAAAAUGGAGACAGGGACAGUGACACAGGUAGAUACCAACAAAAAAAUUAAAUUUCUCAUCCUAGUUAAAUUUUACGUUUUAACGAUCCCAAACUUAGAAUUAUAUUGAGAAAUACAAAAGUGGUGUAGAUUAUGUUCACAAUUAAUAAGCCCCCUUUCCUUCCACUUGCCUGUAAGAAUAUUGAUUAUACAUCUUUGCAUGCUGCCAUGUGACUUCAAUGCACAGAAAUAUACCCCCCAUUACUUUGACUUUGGGCUAGGUUUGUAACCUGCUUUGACCAUUGGAAUGUGAGUGGAGUUCACCAAUGCUAUGUGGGAGCAGAAGCUUUAAGAGACAUUGUGGUGCUCUGCCAGCCCUUUACCUCUCUUUUUCUUUGCACAAAAAUGAUGUCUCAAUCCUCUCAGCCUGAGUCCUGGAAUAGAGGAUAUGUGGAGCACAGUCCUUGCAAUUCUCAACCACCAUUAUGUACUCUGGAAUAAUACAUAUUACAUAAGCUACUUUGUUUUGCUUAUGAUUGCAUAUUUAGCAGAUAUACUAAAGUGACUGACUAAUUUAUGUUGUUCAGUCAUUUCUCAUCUCUCCUCCCUCCGCCAUUCUUUACGUCCUUUCGGUAGAGCUGACUCCACCCCAGCACUGUGGCUUAUGCUGGAUCGACCAGAGUGUUGCUUUCUUCAUAUGGUCUAUUGAGACAAUAAAACCUCAGCCGAAAUUGUUGGAAGAGACCCAUCACAUCCCUCAUUGCUACCUGGGGACAGAGAGUGGAAUAAAAGUUGGUCCUGCUGCAGCAACUUGCAUCAAUGAAGAGAGAGUCAAACUAAGAAGAGCUGUUAAAUCAAGUAGUAUCUGAAGCCAUUAACCUUCAAUUAUGGGAAAUAAAUAUUUUCUAUUCUUGCAACCUAU
rnacentral:lncRNA from 1 species